rnacentral:rRNA from 1 species
AGAGUUUGAUCAUGGCUCAGGAUGAACGCUGGCGGUAUGCGUAACACAUGCAAGUCGAACGAAGUUUUUCGGAACUUAGUGGCGGACGGGUGAGUAACGCGUGAGAAUCUGCCUUAAGGAUUGGGACAACAGUGGGAAACCGCUGCUAAUACCAAAUAUGCCUUUUAGUGAAACGGGUAAAACCGCCUUAAGAUGAGCUCGCGUCUGAUUAGCUAGUUGGUGUGGUAAGAGCGCACCAAGGCAACGAUCAGUAGCUGGUCUGAGAGGACGACCAGCCACACUGGGACUGAGACACGGCCCAGACUCCUACGGGAGGCAGCAGUGAGGAAUUUUCCGCAAUGGGCGAAAGCCUGACGGAGCAAUACCGCGUGAGGGAGGAAGGUUCUUGGAUUGUAAACCUCUUUUCUCAGAGAAGAAUAAUGACGGUAUCUGAGGAAUAAGCAUCGGCUAACUCCGUGCCAGCAGCCGCGGUAAUACGGAGGAUGCAAGCGUUAUCCGGAAUGAUUGGGCGUAAAGGGUCUGUAGGUGGUUGUUCAAGUCUGCUGUUAAAGCGUCUGGCUUAACCAGAUAAAGGCGGUGGAAACUGAACGACUAGAGUGCGGUAGGGGUAGAGGGAAUUCCCAGUGUAGCGGUGAAAUGCGUAGAUCUUGGGAAGAACACCUGUGGCGAAAGCGCUCUACUGGACCGCGACUGACACUGAUGGACGAAAGCUAGGGGAGCGAAUGGGAUUAGAUACCCCCGUAGUCC